CAGGCUUAACACAUGCAAGUCGAGGGGCAUCAGGAAGAAAGCUUGCUUUCUUUGCUGGCGACCGGCGCACGGGUGAGUAACACGUAUCCAACCUGCCCUUUACUCGGGGAUAGCCUUUCGAAAGAAAGAUUAAUACCCGAUGGCAUAAUGAUUCCGCAUGGUUUCAUUAUUAAAGGAUUCCGGUAAAGGAUGGGGAUGCGUUCCAUUAGGUUGUUGGUGAGGUAACGGCUCACCAAGCCUUCGAUGGAUAGGGGUUCUGAGAGGAAGGUCCCCCACAUUGGAACUGAGACACGGUCCAAACUCCUACGGGAGGCAGCAGUGAGGAAUAUUGGUCAAUGGGCGCUAGCCUGAACCAGCCAAGUAGCGUGAAGGAUGAAGGCUCUAUGGGUCGUAAACUUCUUUUAUAUAAGAAUAAAGUGCAGUAUGUAUACUGUUUUGUAUGUAUUAUAUGAAUAAGGAUCGGCUAACUCCGUGCCAGCAGCCGCGGUAAUACGGAGGAUCCGAGCGUUAUCCGGAUUUAUUGGGUUUAAAGGGAGCGUAGGUGGACUGGUAAGUCAGUUGUGAAAGUUUGCGGCUCAACCGUAAAAUUGCAGUUGAUACUGUCAGUCUUGAGUACAGUAGAGGUGGGCGGAAUUCGUGGUGUAGCGGUGAAAUGCUUAGAUAUCACGAAGAACUCCGAUUGCGAAGGCAGCUCACUGGACUGCAACUGACACUGAUGCUCGAAAGUGUGGGUAUCAAACAGGAUUAGAUACCCCUGGUAGUCCGCACAGUAAACGAUGAAUACUCGCUGUUUGCGAUAUACAGUAAGCGGCCAAGCGAAAGCAUUAAGUAUUCCACCUGGGGAGUACGCCGGCAACGGUGAAACUCAAAGGAAUUGACGGGGGCCCGCACAAGCGGAGGAACAUGUGGUUUAAUUCGAUGAUACGCGAGGAACCUUACCCGGGCUUAAAUUGCAGUGGAAUGAUGUGGAAACAUGUCAGUGAGCAAUCACCGCUGUGAAGGUGCUGCAUGGUUGUCGUCAGCUCGUGCCGUGAGGUGUCGGCUUAAGUGCCAUAACGAGCGCAACCCUUAUCUUUAGUUACUAACAGGUUAUGCUGAGGACUCUAGAGAGACUGCCGUCGUAAGAUGUGAGGAAGGUGGGGAUGACGUCAAAUCAGCACGGCCCUUACGUCCGGGGCUACACACGUGUUACAAUGGGGGGUACAGAAGGCAGCUAGCGGGUGACCGUAUGCUAAUCCCAAAAGCCUCUCUCAGUUCGGAUCGAAGUCUGCAACCCGACUUCGUGAAGCUGGAUUCGCUAGUAAUCGCGCAUCAGCCACGGCGCGGUGAAUACGUUCCCGGGCCUUGUACACACCGCCCGUCAAGCCAUGGGAGCCGGGGGUACCUGAAGUACGUAAGCGCAAGGAUCGUCCUAGGGUAAAACUGGUGACU
rnacentral:rRNA from 1 species